rnacentral:rRNA from 1 species
AAUGGGGGCAACCCUGAUCCAGCAAUGCCGCGUGUGUGAAGAAGGCCUGAGGGUUGUAAAGCACUUUCAGAAGCGAGGAAGGUACAUUAGUUAAUACCUGAUGUAAUUGACGUUAACUUCAGAAGAAGCACCGGCUAACUCCGUGCCAGCAGCCGCGGUAAUACGGAGGGUGCGAGCGUUAAUCGGAAUUACUGGGCGUAAAGAGCACGUAGGUGGUUUAUUAAGUUGGCUGUGAAAGCCCCGGGCUUAACCUGGGAUGGUCAGCCAAGACUGGUAAACUAGAGUACGGUAGAGGGGUGUGGAAUUUCCGGUGUAGCGGUGAAAUGCGUAGAGAUCGGAAGGAACACCAGUGGCGAAGGCGACACCCCGGACUGAUACUGACACUGAGGUGCGAAAGCGUGGGUAGCAAACAGGAUU